rnacentral:rRNA from 1 species
GCUUACCUUCAUAUCAUGUUGAAAGCAUGUCAUCCCGUUCGAUCUGAAAAGUGAAUCAACUUCGAGCUACCUUAGUACUUGGAAGAAGACGUCCCAUAGAGCU